GAANUAAGAUCGGCUAACUCCGUGCCAGCAGCCGCGGUAUACGGGGGAUGCAGCGUUAUCCGGAAUCAUUGGGUGUAAAGCGCCUGUAGGUUGUUUGAUAAGUCUGUUGUUAAAGCCUAGGGCUUAACCCUAGAAAAGCGAUGGAAACUACCAGACUAGAGUAUGGAAGGGGUAGAGGGAAUUUCUAGUGUAGCGGUGAAAUGCGUAGAUACUAGAAAGAACACCAGAAGCGAAAGCGCUCUACUGGGCCAGUACUGACACUCAGAGGCGAAAGCUAGGGUAGCAAAAGGGAUUAGAUACCCCUGUAGUCCUAGCCGUAAACGAUGGAUACUAGAUGUUGUGGGUUACUUGUAACAGAUGUUGCAGAUUAACAUGCAGUGACGAAGCUAACGCGUUAAGUAUCCCACCUGGGGAGUACGCUCGCAAGGGUGAAACUCAAAGGAAUUGACGGGGGCCUGCACAAGCGGUGGAGCAUGUGGUUUAAUUCGAUGCAACGCGAAGAACCUUACCAGGAUUUGACAUACUACAAAUCUUUUUGAGAAAAAAGAGCGCCUUCGGGAAUGUAGAUACAGGUGGUGCAUGGCUGUCGUCAGCUCGUGUCGUGAGAUGUUGGGUUAAGUCCCGCAACGAGCGCAACCCUUAUUUUUAGUUACUAACUUGUUAGGUUCUCUAGAAAGACUGCCGGUGACAAACCGGAGGAAGGUGAGGAUGACGUCAAGUCAGCAUGCCCCUUAUAUCCUGGGCUACACACGUGCUACAAUGGUUAAGACAAUGAGUCGCAAGCUCGCGAGAGUCUGCUAAUCUGGUAACUUUGCCUAWSDUCAGAUUGUAGGCUGCAACUCGCUU
rnacentral:rRNA from 1 species